GCUAAAUAGAUAUUGUACAACUGCUGACGUACGCCGACGAUAUUAAUAUAUGUAUUUGGCCUCAACAACCGAGCUGUUACUUUUGUUUUCUCCAACGCGGAUAUAGAAGCGAAGCUACUUGGACAGAAGUGCAGAGGUAUGGACGGCAUGGAGGCAUGAAAGGUUCUACGAGAGAUUUAUGAUCCUUUGCGCAUUGGCAAUGGCGAAUAUCGCAAUCGAUGGAACGAUGAGCUGAACGAGAUAUACAUCGACCUUGUCAUAGUUCAGCAAAUUAAGAGAGAUGGAUGAAAACAAUCCAGCUCUAAUAGUACCCGCCGGCGGAAACAGAGGAAGACCUCCGGUCCGUUGGAGAAGGACCUGGCUUCGCUUGGAAUCUCCAAUAGGCACCAAAUAGCAAAAAAAAGGAACGACUGUAGCGCUGUUGUACACUGGGCUAUAAUCGCGUAAGCGGUGUCUUCGCUAAUAAAGAAGAGGAAAAAGUUUUUUAAUUUUUACCAGUUGCUUCUCGAUUUGUCAUUUCGUUAGUCAAAUCUAAGUAAAAAUGAGGAAUCAAAAUAAAACAACAAAUUUGUAUAUAAAUGCAUUUUUAACAUUAACAUUUAUUUUAAAAAGAAAUGUGAAUUAAAUUUAAUUAAGUUAACAAUAAAAAAUAAGUUUAUUGAAAGCUUACGAUUAAGUUGUUGUAUAUAAUGACAUACAUAUGUACAUAUGAAUAAAAAAUACUCGUCUAAUUUAAGAUGUUCGAAUGCGUUUUAUGUAUCUAACAGGCAACUCAGGUAAAUAAAUGCAGACGAAGAACAAUAUCGGACUGAAUAUGAGCGCCAGCACUAGCCAACAUAUGAUGGUCAGCAGAGUAAGUGGAUCCAUAGGCACGUAAAGCUGAAUUUUGUUUUAUAAAAAAUUUAUAUAAAGUCAAGAAUUUUUACAACGAUUGUUUCGGUCGCUAGUCUUCC
rnacentral:lncRNA from 1 species